rnacentral:ncRNA from 1 species
ACCACUCGUCGCUUCUACUGGUUGGGUGUGCUGGUCAAGUGUCUGGAUCACGUGCUAACCAACGGACAGAAGCUGGAUGACGAAAGAAAAUUUAUUCAGCCUCUCACCGAGAGGAAGGAAAAGUUGUAGCAAUGUUUCUGUAGGUGAAUCUGCGAAAG